rnacentral:lncRNA from 1 species
CAGGUAGUGCAGUCCUCGGUCUCUUGGGGAGUACUUUUUUUCUGUGAUCUGGCACAAACGACCCUUCAGGGCUUAAAGACAGCUAGCCUUUAGAUUUGUCUGUUAACAGUAGAAAUGCUAUAAUAAAUCGGUAACAUAUGUUGCCAGGCAGGGAAAAGUGGUAGACAAGAGCCUGGGAGACCAAGCCAAGUACCAUGUGAAAGAAUUCAAAUUUCAAUCUAUUUGCUGCUAAUUACCAUCUGAAAAGUAAUUUGAAAGUGUUGUUACUUGCUUAUAUUCUUCCUCCUGAUUUCACAGCCUCAUCCAAAGCCAGGCAAUUCUUGAGGCAAACAAACAAAGGGGUGUGAGUGAUUUCAUUUAUUUUGAUAAUCCUCUGUCUGCACAGGGGCACUUUGCUGUCUUUGUCAAAGUGAAUGACAACAAUUUGGCCAACUCUCUCUGAGCUGCACUCAACAGUGACAGGCAAAUUAUCAGAGGCCCUGCACUUCUUAUUAUCAGAGGAGAAGCCAUCAGGGGGACGCAGGGAGGAUGCCUCUCCCUUGUCACUAUUUGUCAGUGGGACAAGGGCCGAGAGACCUGGCAGAAUUAUCACUAGGCACUGCAAACCCUUCCACUGAAACCCACAUUUACCGUGGUGACAUUUACUAGUUAUGGCAGAGCUGAUCAACUGCAGAUUUUUCCUGCUGCUGAGGCUAAAUUGCAAGCUGCUCAUAAUGCCAUCAGAUGCUGCUGGGGUUGCAGCCAAUGAGGACUUUGGGAA